GCCUGGGUGGCUCAGUUGGUUGAGCGUCUGACUUCGGCUCAGGUCAUGAUCUUGCAGUUUGUGAUUUCAAGCCCCACACUGGGCU
rnacentral:tRNA from 1 species